GGGUUGUGAGGUUAAGCGACUAAGCGUACACGGUGGAUGCCCUGGCAGUCAGAGGCGAUGAAGGACGUGCUAAUCUGCGAUAAGCGUCGGUAAGGUGAUAUGAACCGUUAUAACCGGCGAUUUCCGAAUGGGGAAACCCAGUGUGAUUCGUCACACUAUCAUUAACUGAAUCCAUAGGUUAAUGAGGCGAACCGGGGGAACUGAAACAUCUAAGUACCCCGAGGAAAAGAAAUCAACCGAGAUUCCCCCAGUAGCGGCGAGCGAACGGGGAGCAGCCCAGAGCCUGAAUCAGUGUGUGUGUUAGUGGAAGCGUCUGGAAAGGCGCGCGAUACAGGGUGACAGCCCCGUACACAAAAAUGCACAUGCUGUGAGCUCGAUGAGUAGGGCGGGACACGUGGUAUCCUGUCUGAAUAUGGGGGGACCAUCCUCCAAGGCUAAAUACUCCUGACUGACCGAUAGUGAACCAGUACCGUGAGGGAAAGGCGAAAAGAACCCCGGCGAGGGGAGUGAAAAAGAACCUGAAACCGUGUACGUACAAGCAGUGGGAGCACGCUUAGGCGUGUGACUGCGUACCUUUUGUAUAAUGGGUCAGCGACUUAUAUUCUGUAGCAAGGUUAACCGAAUAGGGGAGCCGAAGGGAAACCGAGUCUUAACUGGGCGUUAAGUUGCAGGGUAUAGACCCGAAACCCGGUGAUCUAGCCAUGGGCAGGUUGAAGGUUGGGUAACACUAACUGGAGGACCGAACCGACUAAUGUUGAAAAAUUAGCGGAUGACUUGUGGCUGGGGGUGAAAGGCCAAUCAAACCGGGAGAUAGCUGGUUCUCCCCGAAAGCUAUUUAGGUAGCGCCUCGUGAAUUCAUCUCCGGGGGUAGAGCACUGUUUCGGCAAGGGGGUCAUCCCGACUUACCAACCCGAUGCAAACUGCGAAUACCGGAGAAUGUUAUCACGGGAGACACACGGCGGGUGCUAACGUCCGUCGUGAAGAGGGAAACAACCCAGACCGCCAGCUAAGGUCCCAAAGUCAUGGUUAAGUGGGAAACGAUGUGGGAAGGCCCAGACAGCCAGGAUGUUGGCUUAGAAGCAGCCAUCAUUUAAAGAAAGCGUAAUAGCUCACUGGUCGAGUCGGCCUGCGCGGAAGAUGUAACGGGGCUAAACCAUGCACCGAAGCUGCGGCAGCGACGCUGAUGCGUUGUUGGGUAGGGGAGCGUUCUGUAAGCCUGUGAAGGUGUGCUGUGAGGCAUGCUGGAGGUAUCAGAAGUGCGAAUGCUGACAUAAGUAACGAUAAAGCGGGUGAAAAGCCCGCUCGCCGGAAGACCAAGGGUUCCUGUCCAACGUUAAUCGGGGCAGGGUGAGUCGACCCCUAAGGCGAGGCCGAAAGGCGUAGUCGAUGGGAAACAGGUUAAUAUUCCUGUACUUGGUGUUACUGCGAAGGGGGGACGGAGAAGGCUAUGUUGGCCGGGCGACGGUUGUCCCGGUUUAAGCGUGUAGGCUGGUUUUCCAGGCAAAUCCGGAAAAUCAAGGCUGAGGCGUGAUGACGAGGCACUACGGUGCUGAAGCAACAAAUGCCCUGCUUCCAGGAAAAGCCUCUAAGCAUCAGGUAACAUCAAAUCGUACCCCAAACCGACACAGGUGGUCAGGUAGAGAAUACCAAGGCGCUUGAGAGAACUCGGGUGAAGGAACUAGGCAAAAUGGUGCCGUAACUUCGGGAGAAGGCACGCUGAUAUGUAGGUGAAGCGACUUGCUCGUGGAGCUGAAAUCAGUCGAAGAUACCAGCUGGCUGCAACUGUUUAUUAAAAACACAGCACUGUGCAAACACGAAAGUGGACGUAUACGGUGUGACGCCUGCCCGGUGCCGGAAGGUUAAUUGAUGGGGUCAGCGCAAGCGAAGCUCUUGAUCGAAGCCCCGGUAAACGGCGGCCGUAACUAUAACGGUCCUAAGGUAGCGAAAUUCCUUGUCGGGUAAGUUCCGACCUGCACGAAUGGCGUAAUGAUGGCCAGGCUGUCUCCACCCGAGACUCAGUGAAAUUGAACUCGCUGUGAAGAUGCAGUGUACCCGCGGCAAGACGGAAAGACCCCGUGAACCUUUACUAUAGCUUGACACUGAACAUUGAGCCUUGAUGUGUAGGAUAGGUGGGAGGCUUUGAAGUGUGGACGCCAGUCUGCAUGGAGCCGACCUUGAAAUACCACCCUUUAAUGUUUGAUGUUCUAACGUUGACCCGUAAUCCGGGUUGCGGACAGUGUCUGGUGGGUAGUUUGACUGGGGCGGUCUCCUCCUAAAGAGUAACGGAGGAGCACGAAGGUUGGCUAAUCCUGGUCGGACAUCAGGAGGUUAGUGCAAUGGCAUAAGCCAGCUUGACUGCGAGCGUGACGGCGCGAGCAGGUGCGAAAGCAGGUCAUAGUGAUCCGGUGGUUCUGAAUGGAAGGGCCAUCGCUCAACGGAUAAAAGGUACUCCGGGGAUAACAGGCUGAUACCGCCCAAGAGUUCAUAUCGACGGCGGUGUUUGGCACCUCGAUGUCGGCUCAUCACAUCCUGGGGCUGAAGUAGGUCCCAAGGGUAUGGCUGUUCGCCAUUUAAAGUGGUACGCGAGCUGGGUUUAGAACGUCGUGAGACAGUUCGGUCCCUAUCUGCCGUGGGCGCUGGAGAACUGAGGGGGGCUGCUCCUAGUACGAGAGGACCGGAGUGGACGCAUCACUGGUGUUCGGGUUGUCAUGCCAAUGGCACUGCCCGGUAGCUAAAUGCGGAAGAGAUAAGUGCUGAAAGCAUCUAAGCACGAAACUUGCCCCGAGAUGAGUUCUCCCUGACUCCUUGAGAGUCCUGAAGGAACGUUGAAGACGACGACGUUGAUAGGCCGGGUGUGUAAGCGCAGCGAUGCGUUGAGCUAACCGGUACUAAUGAACCGUGAGGCUUAACCUUACAACGCCGAAG
rnacentral:rRNA from 1 species